UGGGGAAUCUUGGACAAUGGGCGCAAGCCUGAUCCAGCCAUGCCGCGUGCGGGAAGAAGGCCUUCGGGUUGUAAACCGCUUUUGUCAGGGAAGAAACGCUCUGGGCUAAUACCCCGGGGUAAUGACGGUACCUGAAGAAUAAGCACCGGCUAACUACGUGCCAGCAGCCGCGGUAAUACGUAGGGUGCAAGCGUUAAUCGGAAUUACUGGGCGUAAAGCGUGCGCAGGCGGUUAUGCAAGACAGAUGUGAAAUCCCCGGGCUCAACCUGGGAACUGCAUUUGUGACUGUAUAGCUAGAGUACGGUAGAGGGGGAUGGAAUUCCGCGUGUAGCAGUGAAAUGCGUAGAUAUGCGGAGGAACACCGAUGGCGAAGGCAAUCCCCUGGACCUGUACUGACGCUCAUGCACGAAAGCGUGGGGAGCAAACAGGAUUAGAUACCCGGGUAGUCCCUGAGCGGGCUGGCAAGGCGCAU
rnacentral:rRNA from 1 species